GAGCAAAAGGAGAGAAGGAAAUAAGAAAGAGAUGAUAGAUAUAAUAAAAAGAAACACGAUCAUUAAAUAUUGAUCAAGUUAAAAAAAUUAUCAAGGAAUUUUUAUUCUUUUCUUGUUUGAUUCCAAUGUUCAAUCAAGAGUGCUCUUAUCACGAUGAGGGACUAAAUAGAGAGUUAAUGGAAAAUUCGAAGGAGGUGACUCAUGAAUGUGGGUCGGAUGCAAGACUCGUUGGCGAAGAGUAGAUCUUCUACGAAGACGUGAGAACGUCUAAUGGUGUCACCUGAGAUCAUAAUGGAUGGUGCUCGGGAAUAAAGGCUUGUUUUUACCGACGUGGAAUAGGCGAACCCCCUCCUGAGUGUCUCGUGUCUUGGCAACGCGAUAAUAGUGCCAUCGCUGCGAGAAAAGAUACGACUUUCUUCCUUGGUGUAAAUGGAUACACCGCAAUCUCAUAGAGACCGAGCGCGACGUCUUCUCUCGAGGCCAUCCACGCUUCUUCUUCCUCGUAUAUCUCUCUUUCUUUCUCCAACUAAAGAAGGAGGCUUACCUUACGAUUUUUCGCGCUAAGACGACGAUAUUUCAUCGUGGCCGGUGAAUAGAAGGAGGAGAGGUGGCCCCAUCGUAAAUGUAAAGAUCAAACAUAAGAGCAAAUGGAAAAAGUUUUUGGCAAAGUUUCGAGAAAGAAAUCGUAUUCACAGGAGAUUCUUGAUAGCAGCUACUCGAAGUGAAGUAAAGAAACGGAGUAGCAAGAAAAUAUACUAUAAUAAUAAAAGGUACGAAGGGAGUUGAGAGAAAUAGAAGAGAAGAGAAAAUAUGAGAUGGCCAAAGGAAAGAAUGAAGAUUCAACGUCCAUGGAAGGAGUCAAAGGAGUUGAAGGAAGUAUAUUUUCAAAACGCUAACUUUCUACUCGAGAUACAUUCAAGAGAUGGAAGAGAACAAAGAAACUGACCACGAUCGCCGUUCAUCGUAAAUGCUAUUGUGCUUCGCUCGUUUCUUGCUAAUGUCCGUGAAAUUUUAAUAGAUCCUACGAAUGGGGGUGCGUUUUGAGCACAAAGGCCGAUUAUUCGUGAGAUGGAGUUUCAUAGAAUUUUCAAGUUUCCAGCCACUUCAGUUCUCGUCUAAGAAGGGAAAAACGACUCUCGAGAGCAGAUGCAUGUUCCGGAAAGAUCCGAGAUUUUAGAUAUCCCGCCAAUUUCUCCUGCGGGUUGUCAAUAUCUGUAAGAGUCACGACAAUGGCUGAGGAGUAGGGUAGGUCUCUAAGAUACUCGCUCAAGCCGAACAAUAACAUAUUGCAGAAUUUCAAAGGUCUACGUUGAGCAUACGUGUGGGCAUCACACGGAACAUUGCUAUUGGUUUGGGGGUGGCGAACUCGUCUCCGGAUCUUUCGUGUGGGUUUCCACAUACCUCUACCUGUUUUCAUCGGAUAGUAUCGUUGUCGAUGAAGAAGCAUUGGGGAUAGAGCACUCUCUUUGAUUUCACGUUUAACCAUAAGAAUUACUUUUUACGUUGUUUCUUUUUCUCCUUUUUUUUUUCUUUUUUUUUUUUCUUUUUUUUUUCUAUUAAAUAUAAAAAAUAUUCUCACUUUUAAAUAAUUAUA